UGCUUAUGUAUAAACCGAUACAUGCAUACGCCAAUCAGCAGUACAGUGAGUAAAAUUAAAGUUACACUACAGAAGAAAUAACUUUUAUAAAAGGUAUCAGAAAAUUAGUCUUAAUUCCAAAACACCUAGCCCCCCACAUCUGCAGUACCUAACAUUACACAAUAAGCAAAAGCUUGAUGUAGUUAUAGACUAAAGAGUUGGUUAAUUAUGUGCCAGCCACCGCGGUUAUACAUAAGACUCAAACUAAGAAACUUGUGUCGGUCUAAAAGUGAUUAGGGUUAGACUGCUUAUAAGGUGAAAAACAACUCCAGUACUAACAAGCUUUUACAGUAAACUAACAMMUAGACAAAACCCACCUUAACACCCCCCCACYUGAAACACCAAAGCUCAAAAAUAAACUGGGAUUAGAUACCCCACUAUAUGAGCCGUAAAAAACCAAAAACACCCAGAGAA
rnacentral:rRNA from 1 species